rnacentral:rRNA from 1 species
GACGAACGCUGGCGGCGUGCUUAACACAUACAAGUCGAACGGAAAGGCCCUGCUUUUGUGGGGUGCUCGAGUGGCGAACGGGUGAGUAACACGUGAGUAACCUGCCCUUGACUUUGGGAUAACUUCAGGAAACUGGGGCUAAUACCGGAUAGGAGCUCCUGCUGCAUGGUGGGGGUUGGAAAGUUUCGGCGGUUGGGGAUGGACUCGCGGCUUAUCAGCUUGUUGGUGGGGUAGUGGCUUACCAAGGCUUUGACGGGUAGCCGGCCUGAGAGGGUGACCGGCCACAUUGGGACUGAGAUACGGCCCAGACUCCUACGGGAGGCAGCAGUGGGGUAUAUUGCACAAUGGGCGGAAGCCUGAUGCAGCAACGCCGCGUGCGGGAUGACGGCCUUCGGGUUGUAAACCGCUUUCGCCUGUGACGAAGCGUGAGUGACGGUAAUGGGUAAAGAAGCACCGGCUAACUACGUG